rnacentral:lncRNA from 1 species
AUUUAUUUAUUUAUAGUAAAUUAUUUAUUUGUUUGAUUAUUAUUUUAUACUUUUUUGAAUUGAAUUAUCUAGGCCAGAGUAAUUUAAAAAUGUACAAUUUUUUAUCAAAUUUAAAAAAAAAGUCCAUUAAAGACAAAGAAAUAAUGUUUUCCAUUAAAGUCCAAAAUAACUCAAAAGUAAAAUAAUUUAAAUAGCCCAGGUCUUUAAUUCAUGUGGCCAUUCAAAACUGAUCAGACAACAUAUCAAAGAUUUUAUCCAGUAUAUGAAUGGAAAACAACCUUUUUCUACUAGCAAAAUGAAAAUCUUAUUAUCUGUGAAAGAUUACAAUGGACGCAAGAUUUUAACCUUGGAGAGAUGAAAUGUAUAUACAAAACACAAAAUUUAUAACCUACACAUAAAAAUAUAAUAUUAAAUUUAAUCUUAGGUCGACGAACUUAUAUAAUUUUAUAAUAUUAGUAUGAAAAAAUUAUGAUAUUUUUAGAAAUUUUAGGAUGACGAUUGCCCUAGGCGCCGCAUUCCAUAUCUAUGAUUACAAUAUUGAAGACAAAGCCUUGUGUGAUAGCAAAUAUAGGGGAAAAACUAUGAUUUUCUCUCUUUAGUUUUGUUAAAAAAAAAUCAAAGUGAAUGCCAAUUAGUUAAUUGAUAAGUUCAAUAAAAUUGGACUUAAGGAUUCAAUUCUUCAGCGAUUAAUUAAAAUUUUAUAUUUUUUAAUUUCUGUUUGCUUGAUGAAUCUAAAAAUAUAAAAGUUUUAAUCUAAUUUUAAAAAGGUAUCUUUACCGCCGUCCAAUCGGUAUCGGUUAAAGAGCAUAUAAAUCAAAAAAGUUUAGUUAUCAUCACACAUUUCAGUAUAUUUUUACAUGUUUAAUAUACUAUUUACACAUUUUAAUAUGCUUUUUGCACCUUAAGUAUUGCCCAUUAGGUUGUGGCUAUUAUUUUUCUUUGCAAAAAAGUUUAUUAAAGUCAAAAUAUUCUAUGUUUUAUUCAACAAUGAACUUUUUUUUUAUUUCUAGGAUAUUUUUCAAAUUUUAUUUCAGAUUCCUCACUUCUAGAAAAACUAAAAAAAUAUAUAAUUUUAAUUAAAUAUUAUUAUUUUUUUACUAAAAAACAAAAAACUCAAAACCAAAAACAAUUAAAAUUAACUCAAAGAAUUUACCCAAACAUGACUUUGGUGUAAUAAGUUCUUAUUUUUCCUCUCUCUAUACCCCAUUAGAACUCUUUAGUCUUUUUGUAUAUUGGAUGGUAUUGGACUAACCAGUGCUAUAGCAAUUAUAUUUAGAGAGUGUUUGAUACGAUUGAACUUAUGUUAAAAUUGCUUAUUCAAAAGCAGAAUUGGAAUAAUUUUAAAAUAGAACUUCCAAUAAUUAAAUAUUUUUCUAUUUUUGUAAAUUAUUUUUGACUCAAAAAUAGAAGUUGUAUCAAUUAUAUUAACGCGAGGCCAAAUGAAAUGAGUUUAGCUUUCCAAUUGUGGAUUUUAUUUUAUUUUGGACAUAAAACUUGUCGAUUUUUACUGGGUGAAUUUCACUUUACACCCUUAAACUUUAACUUAAGUUGUACUUUGCUCUUUUAGCUUUUAGUUAUGUUAUCAAGUAUCUUUGUGGGCCCUUUGUUCACAUGCCAUUCAAUUAUAGGGAAUGUGAUAUCUUUUUAUAAGACCACAUAACCUAUUUCCAUAACCUAAUUGAACAACAAGGAACAAAAUGGUCACAUUUAAUACUUGAUCUAAACCUAUACAAUUAGAAGUGAAGGACGCAAAUGAAAAUUUUAGUAAAAAUUAUGGUAAUAUUACGGGCACAAAGUGUAAUUUGUCUGUUUUCAAUUGGGUCAUAUUUGAUACUUGACCUAAAAUAUGAGUUGACUAGCAUAGAGGGUAGGGAAGGGUGCAGGUGUAAUUUACCUAUUUUCAAUUGGUUGCAAUUUACUAGCCAACGCGCACUUCCGUGAGGCAAUGGCUAAAGGAACAUAAGCAAGAAGAAAUGAAACUUUAAUUGGUGUCUUUUUCAACGUCUAUUUUCAAUUUUUGACUGAUGAAGGUUGAUUCUUCGGUGAAUUCAUAUGAGAUGCUGACUUAUAUAGAAAUCUUUUCUUACAAAACUACAAAAACCAAAAAAAAAACAUUAUAUAUAUAUACACACACAUUACUUUCUAUUUCCAAAUUAUGGGUGGAGAGAGAAAAAUGGUUGGUGAUUUUAGGUAUGUUAAAUUUGGGUUGGGUCGUUGUAUAACCUGUGAUCUAAUGGUUAAAAACUAGAAAAAUGUUACAGAUCAAAAAUUAAAUUAUAGAAAAUAGUUAAGAAAUGAAGUUUAUGAAUGAUAUUUAUAAUGGAUGUGCCCCAUAAUACAUUAAGAUUGAAUCUACACUUUUGUUGACUUUUUUAACCACUUUAUGUGAUUUUAUUUUUUUAUCCGUAGCAUUGCUCUAAAAAUUAACCUCAUAUGGAUAUGAUCAUUGAAAGUUGUAAUACCAAAACAUUAUAUGAGGGUUGCAACCUUCUAUUAGAUC